rnacentral:rRNA from 1 species
CAGUAGCCACGGUAAUACAGAGGGUGCAAGCGUUAAUCGGAAUUACUGGGCGUAAAGCGCGCGUAGGUGGUUUGUUAAGUUGAAUGUGAAAUCCCCGGGCUCAACCUGGGAACUGCAUCCAAAACUGGCAAGCUAGAGUAGGGCAGAGGGUGGUGGAAUUUCCUGUGUAGCGGUGAAAUGCGUAGAUAUAGGAAGGAACACCAGUGGCGAAGGCGACCACCUGGGCUCAUACUGACACUGAGGUGCGAAAGCGUGGGGAGCAAACAGGAUUAGAGACCCCAGUAGUCCCUGUCUCUUAUAC